rnacentral:ncRNA from 1 species
ACUCUAGUCUGGCACGGUGAAGAGACAUGAGAGGUGUAGAGUAAGUGGGAGGCCCCCGGCGCCCCCCCUCCGUCCCCGGGAGGGGGCGGGGCGGGGUCCGCCGGCCUGGAGGGCUGCCGGUGAAAUACCACUACUCUGAUCGUUUUUUCACUGACCUGGUGAGGCGGCGGGGUGCGGGGGGCGAGCCCCGAGGGGCUCUAGCUUCUGGUGCUAAGCGCCCGGCCGCGCGCCGGCCGGGCGCGACCCGCUCCGGGGACAGUGCCAGGUGGGGAGU